rnacentral:rRNA from 1 species
ACACUCCUGCGGGAGGCAGCAGUGGGGAAUAUUGGACAAUGGGCGCAAGCCUGAUCCAGCCAUGCCGCGUGAGUGAUGAAGGCCCUAGGGUUGUAAAGCUCUUUCACCGGUGAAGAUAAUGACGGUAACCGGAGAAGAAGCCCCGGCUAACUUCGUGCCAGCAGCCGCGGUAAUACGAAGGGGGCUAGCGUUGUUCGGAUUUACUGGGCGUAAAGCGCACGUAGGCGGACUAUUAAGUCAGGGGUGAAAUCCCGGGGCUCAACCCCGGAACUGCCUUUGAUACUGGUAGUCUUGAGUUCGAGAGAGGUGAGUGGAAUUCCGAGUGUAGAGGUGAAAUUCGUAGAUAUUCGGAGGAACACCAGUGGCGAAGGCGGCUCACUGGCUCGAUACUGACGCUGAGGUGCGAAAGCGUGGGGGGCAAACAGGAUUAGAUACCCGAGUAGUCCCA